AUCACGGUAGAGAAGGAGUAAAGAAAGUAUCAGCUGAUGUUAUGUAAACAAAGGCACAGCUGAGAGGUGCCACUGUAGAAACGCCAAGUGUAGUCCGGGGUUGAGUUUCUAUUUGAAUCCAAGAUGGCCGACUUUUAACCGGAAAAUGGUUGCAUUGUGUUAUUUUCUUAUAAUUUAUGUAAAAGUUGUCCCAAAAAUAUUGGUUAUAUGUAAAAGUUUAAUAUAUUUUCAAAAGAAAAUCGUUUUAUUUUAAUAUAUAUUCUUAAAGAUGAGAACAAUAUGAGCAAAUACAUGAAAAAUUAAGUUUUUUAUUUAUGCCUCUUUUUAACUGUGGUAAGUCAAUAAAUGUUCACCACAGAAAAAUGUUACGAACAAAUAAGCAACCAUGCCGAAUAGUGGGGUCUAGAUUAUGCUCAUUCACAGCCAUAUUUAUAUUUUUGCCAUCGUAACGAAGGUUUUUGCAAAGACAAUUUGUUUUAGUUUAUUUCAUGGUUAAAUCCUUUGCGAUGGUUUAUUUAGUUAUUUUAAUCUAUAAAAAGUGUUUACAAUUUUCAUGGGACGAUAAACAUCAGAUCGGCUGCGAUUUUAUUCCAAUAAAAGUACGAAAUAACCAAACAUGGCCACGUUAAUAUUGCUGCGUAAUGGGUCUGGUGCUGUUACAAUUUUAUGAUUUAAGAGAUAGUCAAAUGUAGUUAUCAAAUUAGUUGGCCGUGAAUUCGAGACAAAAUUUUAAAUUCAAUGGCGUUCUCGUGUAAGAGAUCGCAUUGCUAGAAUCAGCAAAGGAGCUGGUGUAGAACGCUAGUCCCAAACCAAUGAGCUUUGUGCUUGAGGGUGGAAGCAACUUUUUGAAGAGCAAAUACUACGGUGAGCACAUUCGGAUGUUGCAUAACCUAUUGUAAAUUGCGCUUAGAAUCCCGGUACUGCUGGUCAGGUUUAUCAGGCUGUUGGCUAAACACCCACCUUGCAGGCCAAAGCGUUACCAUUUGAGCGAAUUAAGUGACUGGUUUCAUCGUGUUAUGCGCAAAGAUGAAAAAUGGUGGGGAUACCGUCAUUGAGACAUGUGUUGUGAUCCUACCUUCUUAUUGAAAGCCAAGUUCACGAAUGUAUUACCGAUGUCGUUCCCUCCAACAUACCGUGGUUGAAGAAUUUUGGUGUACAAUCAAUGGAAGAGC